ensembl:lncRNA
GGGAACAGUGGUGAUCGGUGAUUGGUUGUUUGGAACAGUGAUGAUUGGUUGUGGUGAUCGGUGAUUGGUUGAUGGGAACAGUGAUGAUCGGUGAUUGGUUGAUGGAACAGUGGUGAUCGGUGAUUGGUUGAUGGGAACAGUGAUGAUCGGUGAUUGGUUGAUGGAACAGUGGUGAUCGGUGAUUGGUUGUUGGGAACAGUGGUGAUCGGUGAUUGGUUGUUGGGAACAGUGGUGAUCGGUGAUUGGUUGAUGGGAACAGUGGUGAUUGGUGAUUGGUUGAUGGGAACAGUGGUGAUUGGUGAUUGGUUGUUUGGAACAGUGAUGAUUGGUUGUGGUGAUCGGUGAUUGGUUGAUGGGAACAGUGAUGAUCGGUGAUUGGUUGAUGGAACAGUGAUGAUCGGUGAUUGGUUGAUGGAACAGUGGGGAUCGGUGACUGGUUGAUGGGAACAGUGGUGAUUGGUGAUUGGUUUUUGGGAACAGUGGUGAUUGGUGAUUGGUUGUUUGGAACAGUGAUGAUUGGUUGUGGUUAUCGGUGAUUGGUUGAUGGGAACAGAGCUGAUCGGUGAUUGGUUGAUGGGAACAGUGGUGAUCGGUGAUUGGUUGAUGGUGAUUGGUUGAUGGGAACAGAGGUGAUCGGUGAUUGGUUGAUGGGAACAGUGGUGAUCGGUGAUUGGUUGAUGGGAACAGUGAUGAUCGGUGAUUGGUUGAUGG